GAAAGGUCGUAUUUCAAUGCGGCUGGGCAGGACCAUCUAUCCGUGCCUCAAUUAAG
rfam:Robinsoniella sp. RHS robin_c194, whole genome shotgun sequence.